AUGGCAUUCAUUACUCACUCUCCCUCAAGGGCUUCUGCGUGUUUCUGGUCGAAAGACCAAAUACUUACGCAGAAGACCUUAGGGAGAGUGGAUAAUACUUGCCAU
rnacentral:pre_miRNA from 1 species